rnacentral:lncRNA from 1 species
ACGUGUGGAGCAUCCCUUUGCAGAGCGUUGGUGUUGUACUGCUCUGUCGCACUCUCACGGCAGUUCCCGUCGUGUUCUGGAAGAAUGAAAGUGUAGGCACAUUGCCCAUGUUGAAUCCGGUUAUAUCUUCUCCCUCCGUUUUCUGGAUUUCGGCGCUGGUUGCUGCACCCUAUGUGAGUCAGAAUGGCAGCGAAGAAUGCAAAGGAAAGGAAAACUGUCAUUGUACUGCCAGCGCUUGCCUUCCGUGCCUCCUGCAAAGCUUGCUCUUCUCUUCUGACCUUUAAACUAGUUCUUUAUUUCAGGUCAGUUCUGAAAACACAGGGCAUACAUACUGGAACAGUAAUGAAGUUAAGGCUACCAGAGUUCUUUAUGAGCCUUGUGACGACUGAGAUCAUAUGAUGGACAGCUGAAGAGAACAGGAGGAUUAGAGGCAGCUCUGAAAACAGCACCUUUGGAACCAAUGUGUCUCUGCAACGAGAAACCUUUGCUCAAGCACGUGCUACAAUGUUCAGUGUCUGUAGAAGUCAAGAGACAGGAUCUCCUUGGGACUCUGCUUCUGGUCAUUCGCUCACUUAGGAACUUGAUCUCUGGGACAGCAUAUACAAAGGCUUAUGAUUCACUUAGAAAACAUACAACUCUGUAUGUGCAUGUAUGGGACACAGAAUGUGCUGAAUUAUAGAUACAAACACAUAUAUAAUUACAUGUAUUAUUUAAAUUUAGUGUGUUAUGUAUUAUAUAUUUAUAUUAAAUAGAGAGAAUAUAAUAUAUAUUUCUAAAUAUAUUUAAUUAUAUAUACAUAAUUAUGUAUACGUACAUAUAUAUGUUUUCAUAUUCUCGGUUCUCAUAAGUGAACAUUAAGAAAACAAUCACUCCUAACCUCAGCUUUCUCAUUCACAAAAUAAGGUUCUUAAAUAGAAAUGGAUCCCAAUGCAUUCCACUUUGUAGGCAGUAUGAUUCUUUUUUACCCCUCAGCUAAUAAUUACCUUUUAAUUAUCUGAAGAAUGUAAAACCAAUUUUUAUUUAAAAAUUAGUGUGAGUAUAUACAUGGAAAAAGUGUACUGUGAAUGAGUGUUUGAGUUGAGGUUUAGAAGACUAUUUUUCAGCUGGGGAACAAAGUACGAAUAAACACAAACAAAAUUUUAUUUCAAGGGAACUGACCAGGUGGGAUGAUUAUACAAAAUAGAUGCAAAUUAACAAUGAAGGUUUUACAAUCAGAACUAUAUGACUUUAAAUCCUAGGCUCAUGACAGUGCUAGGGGAUAGAUUAUUAUGAAAUCUUUCGGGUCAGUCUUUAUUGUCAAAGGACAGCACAUACUUGUUGCUCUAUUGAAAAGAUCAACGCCACAUCAUCUAGCAUGGGAACUGCUUCAUUGAACACCUUCAAAUAUUACCUGUGUGCCGAUCCUCUCUACAAGUGUUUCUGCUGAGGAUAAGAACUUGUGGGUUCACCAAAAGCAACCAUGACUUACAGGAAUACUUUUUGGAAAUAUGUACUUCACAAUUAUUAUCAGCUUGUACUUUAGGGUCUCACAUUUAUAUACAAAUUCCAGGUCUGUCAUGUAUUAUUUACUUAUUUACAUUCUGAGAAAGGCAGUCUUUCUUCUCCUAACUAGAUGGUAUGAGGUUUAUGAAAGAAAGUGUAGCACAGCCUCUAGUACGUAGCAACCGAAUACAUGAUAGUCGCUUUAGCACACUUAUAUUCUUCAAGCUUGGAGUAGUUAAUGGAAUGAAAAGGCAUGUCAAUCAAUAUUUCUGGAGAAACGAAUGAGAAGACGAAUAUUCCUUGGUUGUUGAACUACACGCAGACUCUCAAUGUCUUCUUGGAGUGAGGCAGGUCCUAGGAUCUCACAGCUUCCUAUAGAAGGCAUGUCAUUUUCAAAGACGUCUUACUUGACAUGUAAACAAUGCCCAGUAAACCUCUUGUGUUCUUUUUAUGGAAGCAGCUAGCAGCUAGGGGUUGUACAUGUUUUUGUUUUUUUUCCACUCAGUUAUAAAACUGUUUCAUGAUACUUUUCUUAGGUGUUCAGUCAAAUGGGGGUGCUCAAAAAGGAGAAAAUGGGACUGAAAGCUUUAGGAAAUCUAAAAUGAAGUUGAGUUAGCUCCAUUGAGUAUUCCUGAAGUAGUUAUACAAAAAAGACCUAAAAAAAGUGUUCACUUCAUACAUAAGCAUGUUUUUAAAUGUGUGAAAGACAUUAAAUGAAUAAAAAUGAACAAGCC